GACGAACGCUGGCGGCGUGCCUAAUGCAUGCAAGUCGAGCGGACUUGAAGGAGUGCUUGCACUCCUGAGAGUUAGCGGCGGACGGGUGAGUAACACGUAGGCAACCUGCCCUCAAGACUGGGAUAACUACCGGAAACGGUAGCUAAUACCGGAUAAUUUAUUACAUAGCAUUAUGUGAUAAUGAAAGACGGAGCAAUCUGUCACUUGGGGAUGGGCCUGCGGCGCAUUAGCUAGUUGGUGGGGUAACGGCCCACCAAGGCGACGAUGCGUAGCCGACCUGAGAGGGUGAACGGCCACACUGGGACUGAGACACGGCCCAGACUCCUACGGGAGGCAGCAGUAGGGAAUCUUCCGCAAUGGGCGAAAGCCUGACGGAGCAACGCCGCGUGAGUGAUGAAGGUUUUCGGAUCGUAAAGCUCUGUUGCCAAGGAAGAACGUCUCAUAGAGUAACUGCUAUGAGAGUGACGGUACUUGAGAAGAAAGCCCCGGCUAACUACGUG
rnacentral:rRNA from 1 species